GGCAGGGUGGCGCAGUGGUAGCGCGCUGGGUUCAUACCCCUGAGGUCGCAGGUUCGACUCCUGCCCCUGCAA
rnacentral:tRNA from 1 species